CCCCUCUCAUUUUCGUCCAUCUCUCCCCCCCUCUCUACUCUCACUAUUUUCUUUUCAAUCCAUUAUGGAAGAACACUCCAAAGCUUCUAAACACAUGGAUCCACCAUCACCAUUCCUAGAGCUAGCCUUCAAUCACCAAGAAUCAAGAGAAUGAUCAAGCUAGAGUUUCCAAACCCAAGUGGAUCAAAGAGUUCGCCAUUUUCUUAAAUAUUGAGGGUCCGGGCGACAGGAAGUGAAGCCGAAGAAGAAGCGACUCCACGCUAGCUUAAGAACGUUUGAGGUUGAGCAGCUGAUGGAAUGGAAUGGUGUUGAGCGGGUGUUCCUUUGAUCAUUUCAAGAAAUGUAACCUUGAGUAUACAUCUUCAUAUGUAUAUCUCACACGUUUUCCACUGCAAAACACUUUGCUUAGGAUAACUCUAUGUUAUGAAGUUGUGAUACGUGUUAUUGGGUAACCCACCUUAAUCAGUUCUCCUUUAUGUGUAUGUUUUAUAAGUAUCCAAAUGAUCAUAUAUGAUCCUAGCAUUUUAUCUACAAGUGACAUUUCCAUAUACUUUAAUGUUAAGUAAUUAUCCAUUUCCGUUUCCACUCA